GACAGAGGGUGCAAACGUUGCUCGGAAUUACUGGGCGUAAAGCGCGUGUAGGUGGCCACGCAAGUCAGGUGUGAAAGCCCAGGGCUCAACCCUGGAAGUGCACAUGAUACUACGUGGCUGGAGUACUGAAGAGGAGAGCGGAAUUCCCGGUGUAGAGGUGAAAUUCGUAGAUAUCGGGAGGAACACCAGUGGCGAAGGCGGCUCUCUGGGCAGAUACUGACACUGAGACGCGAAAGCGUGGGUAGCAAACAGGAUUAGAUACCCUGGUAGUCCACGCUGUAAACGAUGAGAACUGGGUGUCGUGGGUAUUGACCCCCGCGGUGCCGAAGCCAACGCGUUAAGUUCUCCGCCUGGGAAGUACGGCCGCAAGGCUAAA
rnacentral:rRNA from 1 species